AUACGAAGGGUCCAAGCGUUGUUCGGAAUUACUGGGCGUAAAGCGCGCGUAGGCGGGUCUUGUAAGUUGAUUGUGAAAGCCCUGGGCUCAACCUGGGAAUGGCAGUCAAAACUGCAAGUCUUGAAUGUCUGAGAGGAUGGCGGAAUUCCCGGUGUAGUAGUGAAAUACGUAGAUAUCGGGAAGAACACCUGAGGCGAAGGCGGCUAUCUGGCGGUACAUUGACGCUGAGGCGCGAAAGCGUGGGGAGC
rnacentral:rRNA from 1 species